rnacentral:rRNA from 1 species
CCUACGGGAGGCAGCAGUGAGGAAUAUUGGUCAAUGGACGCAAGUCUGAACCAGCCAUGCCGCGUGCAGGAAGACGGCUCUAUGAGUUGUACACUGCUUUUGUACGAGGGUAAACGCAGAUACGCGUAUCUGUCUGAAAGUAUCGUACGAAUAAGGAUCGGCUAACUCCGUGCCAGCAGCCGCGGUAAUACGGAGGAUUCAAGCGUUAUCCGGAUUUUGUUGGUUUAAAGGGUGAGUAGGCGGUCGGAUAAGUUAGAGGUGAAAUCCCGAGGCUCAACUUCGGAAUUGCCUCUGAUACUGUUCGGCUAGAGAGUAGGUGCGGUAGGCGGAAUGUAUGGUGUAGCGGUGAAAUGCUUAGAGAUCAUACAGAACACCGAUUGCGAAGGCAGCUUACCAAGCUACUUCUGACGUUGAGGCACGAAAGCGUGGGGAGCAAACAGGAUUAGAUACCCUAGUAGUC